CUAACUACGUGCCAGCAGCCGCGGUAAUACGUAGGGCGCGAGCGUUGUCCGGAAUUAUUGGGCGUAAAGAGCUCGUAGGCGGCUUGUCACGUCGGUUGUGAAAGCCCGGGGCUUAACCCCGGGUCUGCAGUCGAUACGGGCAGGCUAGAGUUCGGUAGGGGAGAUCGGAAUUCCUGGUGUAGCGGUGAAAUGCGCAGAUAUCAGAGGAACACCGGUGGCGAAGCGAUCUCUGGGCCGAUACUGACGCUGAGGAGCGAAAGCGUGGGGAGCGAACAGGAUUAGAUACCCUGGUAUCCACGCCGUAACGGUGGGACUAGGUGUGGGCACAUCCACGUUGUCCGUGCCGCACUAACGCAUUAGUGCCCCGCCUGGGAGUCGCGCAAGCUAAACUCAAAGGAAUUGACGGGGGCCCGCACAAGCGGCGGAGCAUGUGGCUUAAUUCGACGCAACGCGAAGAACCUUACCAAGGCUUGACAUACACCGGAAACGUCUGGAGACAGGCGCCCCCUUGUGGUCGGUGUACAGGUGGUGCAUGGCUGUCGUCAGCUCGUGUCGUGAGAUGUUGGGUUAAGUCCCGCAACGAGCGCAACCCUUGUCCCGUGUUGCCAGCAGGCCCUUGUGGUGCUGGGGACUCACGGGAGACCGCCGGGGUCAACUCGGAGGAAGGUGGGGACGACGUCAAGUCAUCAUGCCCCUUAUGUCUUGGGCUGCACACGUGCUACAAUGGCCGGUACAAUGAGCUGCGAUACCGUGAGGUGGAGCGAAUCUCAAAAAGCCGGUCUCAGUUCGGAUUGGGGUCUGCAACUCGACCCCAUGAAGUCGGAGUCGCUAGUAAUCGCAGAUCAGCAUUGCUGCGGUGAAUACGUUCCCGGGCCUUGUACACACCGCCCGUCACGUCACGAAAGUCGGUAACACCCGAAGCCGGUGGC
rnacentral:rRNA from 1 species